rfam:Powassan virus strain Nadezdinsk-1991 from Russia, complete genome.
AGGGGAUGGUGUGGCAGCGCACAACGACAUCGUGACGGGAGUGGGUCGCCCCCGACGCACCAUCCUCUUGGGAAAAAUUUUCGUGAGACC